rnacentral:misc_RNA from 1 species
CAACCCUCAAGCUCUGCUUGGUGUUGGGCCCCGCCGCCCCGGCGGGCCCUAAAAUCAGUGGCGGUGCCGUCCGGCUCCGAGCGUAGUAAUUCUUCUCGCUCUGGAGGUCCGGGUGUGUGCUCGCCAGCAACCCCCAAUUUUUUUCAGG